rnacentral:rRNA from 1 species
AUUGAACGCUGGCGGCAUGCCUUACACAUGCAAGUCGAACGGCAGCACGGGAGCAAUCCUGGUGGCGAGUGGCGAACGGGUGAGUAAUAUAUCGGAACGUGCCCAGUCGUGGGGAUAACGUAGCGAAAGCUACGCUAAUACCGCAUACGAUCUAUGGAUGAAAGCGGGGAUCGCAAGACCUCGCGCGAUUGGAGCGGCCGAUAUCAGAUUAGGUAGUUGGUGAGGUAAAGGCUCACCAAGCCGACGAUCUGUAGCUGGUCUGAGAGGACGACCAGCCACACUGGGACUGAGACACGGCCCAGACUCCUACGGGAGGCAGCAGUGGGGAAUUUUGGACAAUGGGCGCAAGCCUGAUCCAGCAAUGCCGCGUGCAGGAUGAAGGCCUCGGUUGUAACU